UAAAAACAUAAUCAUUUUUUCCUCUCGCUCUCCUUGCUUUCGAUCCACCCUCUACUCUGACCCCCACUAGUGCGUCUCGUUGCGCCACCGUGGCGUUUCAGUACCCCACGGUUGUGUUUCAUUGCGUGUUCGUUGCGCCACCGUGGCAACUUGGUGCAACACCAUUGGGACUCUAAGAUAUUGUUGCUACUAGCUGCGACACGAAUCUAUGAUAUGCUUCUCCUUCAAGCUACGCCAAUUGAGGUUUUCUUUGUUCCAUGUUUUAGAUUAGCUAAGUCCUUCAUUUCUUAAUUCUUUAGCGAUAGAAAAUCAGAGUUUCUGGUUUCAGAUCGUAGCUUAGGGUCUGGUUUAGGGUUCGGUUUCGAUCGAUCCCUAUUUUUCAGGCACAUACACGCAGACUCUUUCGAGUAUUAAAAAUUUCUCUCUCUAUUUCGGUUUUGGAUCCGUUGAUUUUCAUCAUCUAUGGCGGCAAUAGAGGAUGAUUCCAAAGCGUCGACGAAGAUAUCGAUGACACAACCAAUUCCCAAAGAUCUUCAACUUUCCUCAACGCCGUUGCUCUCGGAAACGUUGUAAGUCUUCUCCAUUUCAUUUCUCCAUCAUCAUAGUUUCUAAUUUAUUAUAUUUGCGAUUUCAAUUUUGAUUUCGAGUUUGUAUGGUGUUGGUAAAUCACCGGUUUUUAACAGUUUAAUUGGACAUCCAAUUUUGCCUACGGGUGGAAAUGGAGCUACCAAAGCUCCAAUUUGCAUUGAUCUGCAAUGAGAUACUUCUUUGAGCAGCAAAUCUAUUAUAUUGCAGAUUGACAAUAAAUCUUAGCAAGUGCUUUAAGACAUUCUUUGCAGGAUAGGUUGAGUAAGACUUCCUCAGCCAAGGCACGAGAUCAAAUAACUUUGAAGCUACGCACGAGUACAGGAGUAAGCAAUAUCAAGGAAGUGGAAGGUGGAUUUAACCAUCAAUUUCAAAGAGAAGCCGAAGACAGGAAGAGCCAGAUUUUGUAUGAGCUCUCGCAUUUGGGGAGAGGAACCAAGAAGAUUUUCGAACAAUAUUUCAAGAAUAUAAAUUGGUAUCUGAUUAUCCAGUAGCAUCAGAUCGCUUAUGACAUAGUCCAUCUGUUUUACUUCUAUUCCGGGACUAAUGCCAUUAAAUGGUAUUGGUAACUCUGAAUCAUACUUAGAUUCACAAAUGAGAAGUUCUAACAGAAAACACCCGUCAAAUACCAUAGUCGUUGCCAGAGCA